rnacentral:lncRNA from 1 species
AUAAAACCCUAUAGAGGGAGCUGCUGCUCCAUGUACACUGUAAAGGUAGCGUCUCAAAUUGCACGCUAUUCCCUAUGUAGUGCACUACUUUUGACCAGGGCCCAUGGGCUUGAGUCCAUAGGGAACAGGGUACCUUUUCGGGACGCACACCGAGACGUACAUAUACAGAGAAACUCUGAGAUUUUCCGACUUUUUCACGGUUGCCAUGUUGGCACCUAAAAGCUCCAUGAUAUUGCAACAGGCAAAUAGCAAAUGACACCCCGUUCCACCUUUUUAUUGUGCACUACCUGGUCCAAAGUAGUACACUACAUAGGGAAUAGGGUGCCAUUUUGAGAUCUGCAUUUAUACUUUUCAUGGCUGCCAUGUUUGUGCCGGAUUGUUCCACAACAUUACCAUUCUAAUUGGAAUCCAACUAAGAAUGUUCUUGUUGCUAUAGAAUGACCCGGCGCAAACAUGGAUGACAGACAGUUGUCCGUUCUAGAACUCUGUACAUCUACGUACCUCCGGUUACAAUAUGACAUCCUAAUGACUCUGUUCCAUUGGUCGUUUAUCAAUAAAACCAGCCAACUCGAACACUCUGCACUGUAUUGUGACGUUUUGAAUUGAUAACCACCUGCAGACCUGCCUAAAUUUCCUCUUAUUACAUCAUAAACACUCUCUGUGUAGAGCGGUUUUUAUUUCUCAUGGGUCUGGUUCCAAACCAGUUACUCCUCUCCUAUCCCCUAACCCCUUGUUGAUGAAAAGAUUGAGGUUCUAUCCCCCAUAUCAGAACCUGGAUCUGAAAGGUAGGGCUGUAUGGGGAGCAUUUGAGUUGUCACCCUUUUUGAUGGUUCAAAAGUGAACAAGGGUGUAGGGGUUAGGGUAUUUAGUGUUUGGAACGGGGCUGUUCUCUCUGGCUUGCAUCUCAAAUGGCACCCUGUUCCCCGUACAGUGUUCUACUUUUACCCAGAACCCAACGGGCUCAUGUCAAAAGUAGUGCACUAAAUAAGGAAUAGGGUUGGGUUUGGGAUGCGGCCUGUCUCCGUAAUGGAAGCAUCAUGUUGAACUCUGUUGGUUCAAUCGUGUUUAUAUAAACACCUGAUCAGGCUCUGUUUUAAAAUUUAAAUCUCAUUUAUUUUGUCUUUCGAGGAGCAAAGUUGUUUUGUCUCUCUUGGGUUGCCGUAGCCUGUGGUCAAAACGGGAAUUGGAAAUGAAUUCCAAAUGGCACCCAUAUUCCCUCGUAUAGUGCCCUACUUUUGAUCAGGGCCCAUGGGGCUCCCAAUGGUAGUGCACUACAUGGGCAAUAGGGUGCCAUUUUGAGGUUCAUACUAGUCUGUCUUUAGCUCAGUGUCUAGGGGAGGUUCUAAUGAAUGGGCGGGACUUGAGGUCAGGUUGACUAAUCACAGGCCACGUGCAUGCUGGGUCAACCAAUAAGAAUUGUCCGCCGAGUGGAUUUACAUAAAUCAUUUUUUUUUGUGUGAAUUUUGAGUUGGAAAGUCCUGACAACACAAAGUAUGAAUUUCAAUACAAAAAAAAAGAUUAAUAAAGAUGAAAAACUGC